rnacentral:lncRNA from 1 species
CCGUGUAUUAGAGUAAUUGUCAUUAGAUCACCUGUGUUGCAUACAGGGUCACUCUUUAUCAUUACUGCUGUAAAACCUGUGGCAAUUGGAAGAGAAAAUGAUCCUGAGCAUACUCUUUGAAUCCCUGAAGUUGGUGUCAGUAAGUUUCAUGCAGAAAUUUAUUUUGACCAUGACUUACAAAGUUAUGUCCUUGUAGAUCAAGGCAGUCAAAAGAGAACAGUUGUUAAUGGAAAAUGGAUUGUUCAACUGGAAAUUAAUGUGACCCUUAUGUACUUGAGCAUAGUCAUGAACUGAAAAUUGGAGAGACUGUGUUACCCUUUUACACUCAUCCUAGCACUGAUACCUGGGCUGGCUGUGAACCACGACAAGUUAGAGCUCACCCUUGCCUUGAUAAGAAAGAUGAAUUGUUAAUUGGACCAACUCUAAGCAAGGAGAAAAAAUAGUUGGAAAUAAGAAAAUAAUUAAAGAAAAUACAAUUAAAAUAUGUUUACAGAAACAGACUAUGAAGAUAAAUAGACAUUGAAGAAUCUAAAAUAUAAAAAUAGAGGUGGAAAACAUAGUGAGCAGAUUGGAAGUGAAGGAACCUUCCGAAGAGAUAAUUCUCCUACAUCUGUUCAUUCUGAAAUUACCAACAGCAACAAAAGUAAGAUGUUGCAGAAGAUGGGUUGGAUAAAAGGUGAGAGCCUGGGGAACGAUGGCUGGGAAUGAAAACUCUGAUUCAGCUUCAGCUUCAGCGAACACCUGUAGGCUUGGGGACAGGCAAUCCAUCCUCAUUUGAAGAUGUUCACCUUCUCCAAAACAAAAACAAACAUACUGGGACAAAGCAUGAGAUAGGUUUGCUGAAAACUUCCCAGAAACUAAACGUUAAAAAAAUGACCCAGGGACCAUGACUUGGGUAAAAGGGACUGUAGAG